GUUUCGGUAGUCAAACAAUUAAUUAUUAUAGAUAGUAUUUCAAACUAUACAAUAAUUCACUAGUAUUUUUGAAGCAUUUAUUUACUCAUUCGGUUAUUCAUUCAGUCAUUUAUUCAUUCAUUUAUUCAUUCAGUAAGUCAACUAUUCAUUAUUUCAUCGAAUUAGAAAUUCACACGUGAUGCCUAUAUACUCUCAACGCGAAGCAUUCGUUGCGUCGAUGAUUGCAGACUGUUUUACUGCUUUCAAUCAGUCACCACGACGGCCAGUUCAUCGCAGUACUCAUUCAACGUCCAACCACGAAGGGCAGGAGUUAUACAUGGCAUCGCACAAUUCGUUCACAGGUAUGAAAUAAUUAUCAGUCAGUAUGAUAUAAGUUAGUUAUAAGUAUUAUAACAAUAUAUUCAAUUUGAUAUAUUA
rnacentral:misc_RNA from 1 species